GAAGACGAUAAAGAGCCUGCAGUAUGA
rnacentral:sRNA from 1 species